rnacentral:misc_RNA from 1 species
UUUCCGUAGGUGAUCCUGCGGAAGGAUCAUUACAGAGUUCAUGCCCUCACGGGUAGAUCUCCCACCCUUGAAUAUUUAUACCUUAGUUGCUUUGGCAGGCCGUGGAAACACCAUGGGCUCCGGCUUAUGCGUGCCUGCCAGAGGAAACAAACUCUGUUUUUAGAGAUGUCUGAGUACUAUAUAAUAGUUAAAACUUUCAACAACGGAUCUCUUGGUUCUG